rnacentral:rRNA from 2 species
AGAGUUUUGACCAGGCUCAGAUUGAACGCUGGCGGCAGGCCUAACACAUGCAAGUCGAGCGGUAGCACAGAGAGCUUGCUCUCGGGUGACGAGCGGCGGACGGGUGAGUAAUGUCUGGGAAACUGCCUGAUGGAGGGGGAUAACUACUGGAAACGGUAGCUAAUACCGCAUAAUGUCGCAAGACCAAAGUGGGGGACCUUCGGGCCUCAUGCCAUCAGAUGUGCCCAGAUGGGAUUAGCUAGUAGGUGGGGUAACGGCUCACCUAGGCGACGAUCCCUAGCUGGUCUGAGAGGAUGACCAGCCACACUGGAACUGAGACACGGUCCAGACUCCUACGGGAGGCAGCAGUGGGGAAUAUUGCACAAUGGGCGCAAGCCUGAUGCAGCCAUGCCGCGUGUGUGAAGAAGGCCUUCGGGUUGUAAAGCACUUUCAGCGGGGAGGAAGGCGUUAAGGUUAAUAACCUUGGCGAUUGACGUUACCCGCAGAAGAAGCACCGGCUAACUCCGUGCCAGCAGCCGCGGUAAUACGGAGGGUGCAAGCGUUAAUCGGAAUUACUGGGCGUAAAGCGCACGCAGGCGGUCUGUCAAGUCGGAUGUGAAAUCCCCGGGCUCAACCUGGGAACUGCAUUCGAAACUGGCAGGCUAGAGUCUUGUAGAGGGGGGUAGAAUUCCAGGUGUAGCGGUGAAAUGCGUAGAGAUCUGGAGGAAUACCGGUGGCGAAGGCGGCCCCCUGGACAAAGACUGACGCUCAGGUGCGAAAGCGUGGGGAGCAAACAGGAUUAGAUACCCUGGUAGUCCACGCCGUAAACGAUGUCGAUUUGGAGGUUGUGCCCUUGAGGCGUGGCUUCCGGAGCUAACGCGUUAAAUCGACCGCCUGGGGAGUACGGCCGCAAGGUUAAAACUCAAAUGAAUUGACGGGGGCCCGCACAAGCGGUGGAGCAUGUGGUUUAAUUCGAUGCAACGCGAAGAACCUUACCUGGUCUUGACAUCCACAGAACUUACCAGAGAUGCAUUGGUGCCUUCGGGAACUGUGAGACAGGUGCUGCAUGGCUGUCGUCAGCUCGUGUUGUGAAAUGUUGGGUUAAGUCCCGCAACGAGCGCAACCCUUAUCCUUUGUUGCCAGCGGUCCGGCCGGGAACUCAAAGGAGACUGCCAGUGAUAAACUGGAGGAAGGUGGGGAUGACGUCAAGUCAUCAUGGCCCUUACGACCAGGGCUACACACGUGCUACAAUGGCAUAUACAAAGAGAAGCGACCUCGCGAGAGCAAGCGGACCUCAUAAAGUAUGUCGUAGUCCGGAUUGGAGUCUGCAACUCGACUCCAUGAAGUCGGAAUCGCUAGUAAUCGUAGAUCAGAAUGCUACGGUGAAUACGUUCCCGGGCCUUGUACACACCGCCCGUCACACCAUGGGAGUGGGUUGCAAAAGAAGUAGGUAGCUUAACCUUCGGGAGGGCGCUUACCACUUUGUGAUUCAUGACUGGGGUGAAG